UAGGGAAUUUUCGUUCAAUGGGCGCAAGCCUGAACGAGCAAUGCCGCGUGAACGAGGAAGGUCUUCGGAUCGUAAAGUUCUGUUGAGAGGGAAAAAGGGGUACACCAGAGGAAAUGCUGGUGAAGUGAUAUUACCUUUCG
rnacentral:rRNA from 1 species